UUGAAACUCUGGUUCUCGCCCGGUCAUGGAAGUUAAGCAACGUUGAGCCUGGUCAGUAACUAGAUGAGUGAGCGCUUAGGAAUAUCAGGUGUUGUAAU